rnacentral:rRNA from 1 species
UGAGACACGGCCCAGACUCCUACGGGAGGCAGCAGUGGGGAAUUUUCCGCAAUGGGCGAAAGCCUGACGGAGCAAUACCGCGUGAGGGAGGAAGGCUCUUGGGUCGUAAACCUCUUUUCUCAAGGAAGAAUGCAAUGACGGUACUUGAGGAAUAAGCAUCGGCUAACUCCGUGCCAGCAGCCGCGGUAAUACGGAGGAUGCAAGCGUUAUCCGGAAUGAUUGGGCGUAAAGGGUCUGUAGGUGGUACUGAAAGUCUGCUGUUAAAGAGCAAGGCUCAACCUUGUAAGAGCAGUGGAAACUACAGAACUGGAGUGCGGUAGGGGCAAAAGGAAUUCCUGGUGUAGCGGUGAAAUGCGUAGAUAUCAGGAAGAACACCGGUGGCGAAAGCGUUUUGCUAGACCGCAACUGACACUGAGGGACGAAAGCUAGGGGAGCGAAUGGGAUUAGAUACCCCAGUAGUCCUAGCCGUAAACGAUGGAUACUAGGCGUGGCUUGUAUCGACCCGAGCCGUGCCGGAGCUAACGCGUUAAGUAUCCCGCCUGGGGAGUACGCACGCAAGUGUGAAACUCAAAGGAAUUGACGGGGGCCCGCACAAGCGGUGGAGUAUGUGGUUUAAUUCGAUGCAACGCGAAGAACCUUACCAAGACUUGACAUCCUGCGAAUUUUCCUGAAAGGGAAAAGUGCCUUCGGGAGCGCAGAGACAGGUGGUGCAUGGCUGUCGUCAGCUCGUGUCGUGAGAUGUUGGGUUAAGUCCCGCAACGAGCGCAACCCUCGUUUUUAGUUGCCAGCAUUAAGAUGGGCACUCUAGAGAGACUGCCGGUGACAAACCGGAGGAAGGUGAGGAUGACGUCAAGUCAGCAUGCCCCUUACGUCUUGGGCUACACACGUACUACAAUGCUACGGACAAAGGGCGGCUACACAGCGAUGUGAUGCAAAUCUCAGAAACCGUAGCUCAGUUCAGAUCGAAGGCUGCAACUCGCCUUCGUGAAGGAGGAAUCGCUAGUAAUUGCAGGUCAGCAUACUGCAGUGAAUUCGUUCCCGGGCCUUGUACACACCGCCCGUCACACCAUGGAAGUUGGUCACGCCCGAAGUCAUUACCCCAACCGAAAGGAGGGGGAUGCCUAAGGUAGGACUGGUGACUGGGGUGAAGUCGUAACAAGGUAGCCGUACCGGAAGGUGUGGCUGGAUCACCUCCUUU